rnacentral:rRNA from 1 species
UUUUCCAGGCAAAUCCGGAAAAUCAAGGCUGAGGCGUGAUGACGAGGCACUACGGUGCUGAAGCAACAAAUGCCCUGCUUCCAGGAAAAGCCUCUAAGCAUCAGGUAACAUCAAAUCGUACCCCAAACCGACACAGGUGGUCAGGUAGAGAAUACCAAGGCGCUUGAGAGAACUCGGGUGAAGGAACUAGGCAAAAUGGUGCCGUAACUUCGGGAGAAGGCACGCUGAUAUGUAGGUGAAGCGACUUGCUCGUGGAGCUGAAAUCAGUCGAAGAUACCAGCUGGCUGCAACUGUUUAUUAAAAACACAGCACUGUGCAAACACGAAAGUGGACGUAUACGGUGUGACGCCUGCCCGGUGCCGGAAGGUUAAUUGAUGGGGUUAGCGGUAACGCGAAGCUCUUGAUCGAAGCCCCGGUAAACGGCGGCCGUAACUAUAACGGUCCUAAGGUAGCGAAAUUCCUUGUCGGGUAAGUUCCGACCUGCACGAAUGGCGUAAUGAUGGCCAGGCUGUCUCCACCCGAGACUCAGUGAAAUUGAACUCGCUGUGAAGAUGCAGUGUACCCGCGGCAAGACGGAAAGACCCCGUGAACCUUUACUAUAGCUUGACACUGAACAUUGAGCCUUGAUGUGUAGGAUAGGUGGGAGGCUUUGAAGUGUGGACGCCAGUCUGCAUGGAGCCGACCUUGAAAUACCACCCUUUAAUGUUUGAUGUUCUAACGUUGGCCCGUUAUCCGGGUUGCGGACAGUGUCUGGUGGGUAGUUUGACUGGGGCGGUCUCCUCCUAAAGAGUAACGGAGGAGCACGAAGGUUGGCUAAUCCUGGUCGGACAUCAGGAGGUUAGUGCAAUGGCAUAAGCCAGCUUGACUGCGAGCGUGACGGCGCGAGCAGGUGCGAAAGCAGGUCAUAGUGAUCCGGUGGUUCUGAAUGGAAGGGCCAUCGCUCAACGGAUAAAAGGUACUCCGGGGAUAACAGGCUGAUACCGCCCAAGAGUUCAUAUCGACGGCGGUGUUUGGCACCUCGAUGUCGGCUCAUCACAUCCUGGGGCUGAAGUAGGUCCCAAGGGUAUGGCUGUUCGCCAUUUAAAGUGGUACGCGAGCUGGGUUUAGAACGUCGUGAGACAGUUCGGUCCCUAUCUGCCGUGGGCGCUGGAGAACUGAGGGGGGCUGCUCCUAGUACGAGAGGACCGGAGUGGACGCAUCACUGGUGUUCGGGUUGUCAUGCCAAUGGCACUGCCCGGUAGCUAAAUGCGGAAGAGAUAAGUGCUGAAAGCAUCUAAGCACGAAACUUGCCCCG